UCGCUUCAGCAGCACAUACACUAAAAUUGGAAUGACACAGAGAAGAUUAGCAUGGCCUUUGCACAAGGACGGCAUGCAAAUUCUUAAAGCAGUCCAUAUUUUU